rnacentral:rRNA from 1 species
AUUGAACGCUGGCGGCAUGCCUUACACAUGCAAGUCGAACGGUAACAGGUCUCCGGAUGCUGACGAGUGGCGAACGGGUGAGUAAUACAUCGGAACGUGCCUAGUAGUGGGGGAUAACUACUCGAAAGAGUGGCUAAUACCGCAUGAGAUCUACGGGUGAAAGCAGGGGGUCGCAAGACCUUGUGCUACUAGAGCGGCCGAUGGCAGAUUAGGUAGUUGGUGGGAUAAAAGCUUACCAAGCCGACGAUCUGUAGCUGGUCUGAGAGGACGAUCAGCCACACUGGGACUGAGACACGGCCCAGACUCCUACGGGAGGCAGCAGUGGGGAAUUUUGGACAAUGGGCGCAAGCCUGAUCCAGCAAUGCCGCGUGCAGGAUGAAGGCCUUCGGGUUGUAAACUGCUUUUGUACGGAACGAAAAGCCCUGGGUUAAUACCCUGGGGUCAUGACGGUACCGUAAGAAUAAGCACCGGCUAACUACGUGCCAGCCGCCGCGGUAAAAC